GACGAACCGUGCGAACGUUGUUCGGAAUCACUGGGCUUAAAGGGCGCGUAGGCGGCUCGCCAAGUCCGGGGUGAAAGCCCCCAGCUCAACUGGGGAAGGGCCUCGGAUACUGGCGAGCUCGAGGGAGGUAGGGGUCGAGGGAACUUCUGGUGGAGCGGUGAAAUGCGUUGAUAUCAGAAGGAACGCCGGUGGCGAAAGCGCUCGACUGGAUCUCUACUGACGCUGAGGCGCGAAAGCUAGGGGAGCAAACGGG
rnacentral:rRNA from 1 species